UAGAUGGUUCUCGGGUCAAC
rnacentral:siRNA from 1 species